GUCGUGAGAUGUUGGGUUAAGUCCCGCAACGAGCGCAACCCUUAAGCUUAGUUGCCAUCAUUAAGUUGGGCACUCUAGGUUGACUGCCGGUGACAAACCGGAGGAAGGUGGGGAUGACGUCAAAUCAUCAUGCCCCUUAUGAUUUGGGCUACACACGUGCUACAAUGGACAAUACAAAGGGCAGCUAAACCGCGAGGUCAUGCAAAUCCCAUAAAGUUGUUCUCAGUUCGGAUUGUAGUCUGCAACUCGACUACAUGAAGCUGGAAUCGCUAGUAAUCGUAGAUCAGCAUGCUACGGUGAAUACGUUCCCGGGUCUUGUACACACCGCCCGUCACACCACGAGAGUUUGUAACACCCGAAGCCGGUGGAGUAACCAUUUAUGGAGCUAGCCGUCGAAGGUGGGACAAAUGAUUGGGGUGAAGUCGUAACAAGGUAGCCGUAUCGGAAGGUGCGGUUGGAUCACCUC
rnacentral:rRNA from 1 species